rnacentral:rRNA from 1 species
UGGGGAAUUUUGGACAAUGGGGGAAACCCUGAUCCAGCCAUCCCGCGUGUGCGAUGAAGGCCUUCGGGUUGUAAAGCACUUUUGGCAGGAAAGAAACGUCAUGGGUUAAUACCCCGUGAAACUGACGGUACCUGCAGAAUAAGCACCGGCUAACUACGUGCCAGCCGCCGCGGUAAUACGUAGGGUGCAAGCGUUAAUCGGAAUUACUGGGCGUAAAGCGUGCGCAGGCGGUUCGGAAAGAAAGAUGUGAAAUCCCAGAGCUCACCUUUAGAACUGCAUUUUUAACUACCGGGCUAGAGUGUGUCAGAGGGAGGUGGAAUUCCGCGUGUAGCAGUGAAAUGCGUAGAUAUGCGGAGGAACACCGAUGGCGAAGGCAGCCUCCUGGGAUAACACUGACGCUCAUGCACGAAAGCGUGGGGAGCAAACAGG